GAUAUAUAGAGCUAUGGUUGAAUUUUUGUAUAAAGAUGAACUUUUGAGAGGAGAUUGUAGAUUUCCUUUGAAGUUAUUGAAAACCUAAUCUAUCAGCAAAUGAUUAGCUAUGAUUUGGUAUAUCCAAGAAUGUUAGAAAAUUUCUAGAUAUUUUAGAAAUCCUUAUGUACAAACCUUCUUAAAUAUAAAAGGGUUUAUUAGUACAAUAUCUUUUUGAUAUUGUAGUAUUUAUUUGUCUUCUACUUUUAAGGUUA
rnacentral:lncRNA from 1 species